GGCGGAAUAAGCCGAGCUUCGGCCUAACGGCAGCCGUUUCGAAAACGGUCAGCCCUUCAGCGGGCGUGCAGGUUCGAGACCUGCUUCCGCCG
rnacentral:tRNA from 1 species